GCAGAGAAUGAGAUGGGGAUUAGUUUACAAGCUCACAUUUUACACAUGUAAACAUAUGUUUUUGUUUGCUUUUUGUUUCUUUUUGCUAGUACAAAAUUUAAAAAAAAAAGGUUUAUUUUAUAGGGAGUGUUUUCCUAAAGUAUUAUACAUAAAGGGAAGUUGAGCUGUCUGUAGGAAAACAGAAUGUAAUUUUAAUAUUACAGAAGGGUCGAGACUGUGCUUAACAUUUUAAAUUAGAUUAGUACAAUAAGUAAAUACUGCAAGAUAUGACAGCUUCAAAAUUGUAUAUGAACAUCAUGAUGUAGAAGCUCAAUAUUAACACCCAUAGUGAUCAUUUGCUUUCAAGAUUGUCCAAAAUGUUGAGAGAAUACUGCUUAAAUCUUAAUAGAGGAAAAAAAAAAAAAAGGACUCAAAUCACUAACUGAAACGUAGCCCUUUCCCAAUGCUGUCAACUUUCAAUUAUCCAUAAUAAUGAAGUGGCAUACUGACAUAUAAAAUGUUUAAAAAAUAAAUAAUUUCAAAAUUAAUUUUGAGAAAUGUCCUUGUACUUAGGUUUAUAGGUAAGAAAUACUAACAUCCCUGAAGUUUGCAGUACCGAUCAAAUGAUAAUUUCUACUUUCUUCUCCCCUCCCUCUCAGUGGGAAGAGACACAGUCACUCACACAUACACACACACAAAUGUACAUUUUUAUAUAUAUGCAGGAAUAUAUGUAUCUAGAAAUCUUUGUAGAACUCCUCGAUAUAUGGAUAUGUCCGAGGUUUCUUGUUUUCUAGAGCUUAAUACAACAUCACUUUGGAAAGGUAAGUGAUUAAUAUGCUGGUCAUAUCUCAUGUUUCCUCUUUGCCAAAUCAGAGCACCUGGGUACUCUUAAACUCCCAAACAUAAUUAUCCAGGAACCCUGAGGUAACUUUAACUUUUGGCAGAACAACAUAAAUGCCAAGCAAACAAUUAAAAAUGAAAGUGGCAGUUAACAAAACCAUAAAAUAUUUUAUCCCUUUAUAUGGUAAUUUGUAGAACAUGACAUGAAAACUUGGGAUGAUCAAGUCAUUUUUUUCUAAGCACUAUGUAAAAUCAGUUUGUUUUAAAAAUAGGUUCCGGGAGUUUCCCAUUGUGGCUCAGUGGCUUAGGAUCCUGAUUAGUAUCCAUGAGGAUGCUGGUUUGAUCCCUGGCCUCACUCAUGGGUUAAGGAUCCAGGGUUGUCGUGAGCUGUGGUGUAGUUCGCAGACAUGGCUCUGAUCCUGAGUUGCUGUGGCUCUGGCCUACGCCAGUGGCUACAGCUCCAAUUGGACCCCUAGCCUGGGAACCUCCAUAUGCCACAGGUGUGGCCCUAAAAGACAAAAAGACAAAAAAAAAAA
rnacentral:lncRNA from 1 species